rnacentral:tRNA from 1 species
AUUUAAAUAAUUUAAUUAAAAAUAUUGAUUUGUGGAAUCAAAUAUAUCUUUAUAGAUUUUAAAUA